UACGAAGGGGGCUAGCGUUGUUCGGAAUCACUGGGCGUAAAGCGCACGUAGGCGGAUUUGCCAGUCAGGGGUGAAAUCCCGGGGCUCAACCUCGGAACUGCCCUUGAUACAGCAAAUCUCGAGUCCGGAAGAGGUGAGUGGAAUUCCUAGUGUAGAGGUGAAAUUCGUAGAUAUUAGGAAGAACACCAGUGGCGAAGGCGGCUCACUGGUCCGGCACUGACGCUGAGGUGCGAAAGCGUGGGGAGCAAAC
rnacentral:rRNA from 1 species